AGGUCACAAAAUCACAUGGGCCCAAGGCUCUGAAGUAUCAGGGGGCAGCAGAAUUGCUGCAAAUGGCAUGCAGAUGACAUUGAUUAAUUUUGCUACAAUCCACCCCUUGACAGAAUGAAGCAGGUCUUGGAUGAGAACCUCCUGGGGAAGGCACGAUGGGAGGAAGCAGCCUGCUCUUCUGAGGCAGUCUGUGCAGAUGCUUGCGCUGGGCCAAUUUGGUCCAUGUGGAGAAGAAAUUCUGCCCAGCCUCACCAUACCCCGAGGUACCUAUCUGCCAGUGCCCUAGGUAACUCUCUAAGAUUAUAACAAGUUGCCAGUCUGCAUUGGCACCUGGACAGAUUCUGCACCUGGAGUUCCUUAUUCCAACAAAAUUACAGAUGUGGUCGCCAUUUUGGGGACAAUGGUUUCCCUACUCCACGAUCUCCUCUCCAUCACCAGUUACCCUACUGAUUACUGCUAGGACCGUGAGGAUUUCUCCACUGUCUGACUACAUGUUUCUGGAACUUUGUGAUCCUCUGUCUCCAUUUGU